rfam:Danio rerio chromosome 14, GRCz11 reference primary assembly.
GCCGGCAGCUAGCUCUCUCACAUGGUCGCACACUGAAGCUAAGCAGGGCUGCACCUGGUCAGUACCUGGAUGGGAGACCACAUGGGAAAACUAGGCUGCUGUCUGAA